rnacentral:rRNA from 1 species
UACGUAGGUGGCAAGCGUUGUCCGGAUCUACUGGGUGUAAAGGGCGUGUAGCCGGGCUGACAAGUCAGAUGUGAAAUCCGGGGGCUCAACCCCCGAACUGCAUUUGAAACUGUUGGUCUUGAGUAUCGGAGAGGCAGGCGGAAUUCCUAGUGUAGCGGUGAAAUGCGUAGAUAUUAGGAGGAACACCAGUGGCGAAGGCGGCCUGCUGGACGACAACUGACGGUGAGGCGCGAAAGCGUGGGGAGCAAACAGG